ACGGGAGGCAGCAGUGGGGGAUAUUGGUCAAUGGGCGCAAGCCUGACCCAGCAAUGCCGCGUGAAGGAAGAAGGCUUUCGGGUUGUAAACUUCUUUUAAGUGGGACGAUAAUGACGGUACCACUUGAAUAAGCUCCGGCUAACUACGUGCCAGCAGCCGCGGUAAUACGUAGGGAGCAAGCGUUAUCCGGAUUUACUGGGUGUAAAGGGCGUGUAGGCGGGGCGACAAGUCAGAUGUGAAAGCCCGGGGCUCAACUCCGUGACUGCAUUUGAAACUGCAGUGCUUGAGUGCUGGAGAGGUUAGCGGAAUUCCUAGUGUAGCGGUGAAAUGCGUAGAUAUUAGGAGGAACACCAGUGGCGAAGGCGGUUAGCUGGACAGUAACUGACGCUGAGGCGCGAAAGCGUGGGGAGCAAACAGGAUUAGAUACCCUGGUA
rnacentral:rRNA from 1 species